AGUGAACGCUGGCGGUAGGCCUAACACAUGCAAGUCGAACGGCAGCACAGUAAGAGCUUGCUCUUACGGGUGGCGAGUGGCGGACGGGUGAGGAAUACAUCGGAAUCUACUUUUUCGUGGGGGAUAACGUAGGGAAACUUACGCUAAUACCGCAUACGACCUACGGGUGAAAGCAGGGGAUCUUCGGACCUUGCGCGAUUGAAUGAGCCGAUGUCGGAUUAGCUAGUUGGCGGGGUAAGGCCCACCAAGGCGACGAUCCGUAGCUGGUCUGAGGGGAUGAUCAGCCACACUGGAACUGAGACACGGUCCAGACUCCUACGGGAGGCAGCAGUGGGGAAUAUUGGACAAUGGGCGCAAGCCUGAUCCAGCCAUACCGCGUGGGUGAAGAAGGCCUUCGGGUUGUAAAGCCCUUUUGUUGGGAAAGAAAAGCAGCAGGUUAAUACCCCGCUGUUCUGACGGUACCCAAAGAAUAAGCACCGGCUAACUUCGUG
rnacentral:rRNA from 1 species